AGUGAACGCUGGCGGUAGGCCUAACACAUGCAAGUCGAACGGCAGCACAGUAAGAGCUUGCUCUUACGGGUGGCGAGUGGCGGACGGGUGAGGAAUACAUCGGAAUCUACUUUUUCGUGGGGGAUAACGGAGGGAAACUUACGCUAAUACCGCAUACGACCUACGGGUGAAAGCAGGGGAUCUUCGGACCUUGCGCGAUUGAAUGAGCCGAUGUCGGAUUAGCUAGUUGGCGGGGUAAAGGCCCACCAAGGCGACGAUCCGUAGCUGGUCUGAGAGGAUGAUCGGCCACACUGGAACUGAGACACGGUCCAGACUCCUACGGGAGGCAGCAGUGGGGAAUAUUGGGCAAUGGGCGCAAGCCUGAUCCAGCCAUACCGCGUGGGUGAAGAAGGCCUUCGGGUUGUAAAGCCCUUUUGUUGGGAAAGAAAAGCAGUAGGUUAAUACCCCGCUGUUCUGACGGUACCCAAAGAAUAAGCACCGGCUAACUUCGUG
rnacentral:rRNA from 1 species